AGAAACUUAGGAUAGUCUAAACCGAAGGCCUUCAAAGCCUUAAACAAGAGUUAAACCCUCUUAGUUUCUG
rnacentral:tRNA from 1 species